UGCAAGUCGAACGGCAGCACGGACUUCGGUCUGGUGGCGAGUGGCGAACGGGUGAGUAAUGUAUCGGAACGUGCCUAGUAGCGGGGGAUAACUACGCGAAAGCGUAGCUAAUACCGCAUACGCCCUUCGGGGGAAAGCAGGGGAUCGCAAGACCUUGCACUAUUAGAGCGGCCGAUAUCGGAUUAGCUAGUUGGUGGGGUAACGGCUCACCAAGGCGACGAUCCGUAGCUGGUUUGAGAGGACGACCAGCCACACUGGGACUGAGACACGGCCCAGACUCCUACGGGAGGCAGCAGUGGGGAAUUUUGGACAAUGGGGGAAACCCUGAUCCAGCCAUCCCGCGUGUGCGAUGAAGGCCUUCGGGUUGUAAAGCACUUUUGGCAGGAAAGAAACGUCCCGGGCUAAUACCCUGGGAAACUGACGGUACCUGCAGAAUAAGCACCGGCUAACUACGUGCCAGCAGCCGCGGUAAUACGUAGGGUGCAAGCGUUAAUCGGAAUUACUGGGCGUAAAGCGUGCGCAGGCGGUUCGGAAAGAAAGAUGUGAAAUCCCAGAGCUUAACUUUGGAACUGCAUUUUUAACUACCGAGCUAGAGUGUGUCAGAGGGAAGGUGGAAUUCCGCGGUGUAGCAGUGAAAUGCGUAGAUAUGCGGAGGAACACCGAUGGGCGAAGGCAGCCUCCUGGGAUAACACUGACGCUCAUGCACGAAAGCGUGGGGAGCAAACAGGAUUAGAUACCCCUGGUAGUCCACGCCCUAAACGAUGUCAACUAAGCUGUUGGGGGCCUUCGGGCCUUGGUAGCGCAGCUAACGCGGUGAAGUUGACCGCCUGGGGGAAGUACGGUCGCAAGAUUAAAACUCAAAGGAAUUGACGGGGACCCGCACAAGCGGGGGGA
rnacentral:rRNA from 1 species